UCUUUGGUGCCCAAACCCAUCCCCUCUUUAUGUCCCCAGACAGCAGCAGAGGGGGAUGGGUUUGGGAGGAGCCUUAGUUUCCCACUGACAUUAGUGAAGUUUUCUGUGGAGGUCAGCAGGGGGCUCCAUUCUCUGUGUUUGUUAAUGUCCUGCAGCGAUGAUAGAUAGAUACAGGUGUUGGGAGAAAGGCGGUUGUGGGGGACUGGCUGUGACCACCAUGGAAAACAGAAAACACCCAUCUUCCAAGAAGCCAAAAGACACCGAACAUGUAGAUGCCUAAAGAAGAGAGGAUAGCUAUCCAGAAAGAACCAUCAAAUAAAGAAGACUCUGAUGUACUCAUGUGAACAAAAAAAUUCCUAGCAGUAAUCUUUGAACUCUCUGGAAAGAAGAUGGGGUCCCAUUUCAUCGAUUCCACUUGAUUCAACUUGAUGUCUUUGAACUUGCAAACACCACCCUAAAACUGGUUUGGGGCUAUACUGCCCUAGACAACUCCAGAGUAGCUAGCUGAUAUGGUGCACCUUCUUAUUACACCCUGGCCAGAGCUUCAGGAUCCCAUGGAGUCAUCAUCCCAUUUCAACAGGAAGUAAUCCUAAGAAAACAACGCCUCCUUUCCCUACUGUUGGCAUUAAGGAACAAUCCUGACUGGCAACAUGCUUUUCACCAGCCAAACCACGUGUGUCCAGAUCUUAGAGGAAAAUGAAAUAAUGCCUCUAGGUUUGGAGGAACUGCUCGAUUAGCCUAGACUUCUCUAUCAAAUAGUGGUGAAAAUAAAAUGAAGGCAGGUACGAAAGAAUUUCCCUGGGAUGCUCACCAGCUUCUUAGGAAGUACCUUGGGGAUACAUGCUGUAGCAAAACUCUGGAAGUGCUCCCUGAAAGAGGAAGGUGCAGAGCACAGGAGACGCGAUCUCAUUCGGGGGAUGAGUAGUAGUUGUCUGGCCCGAGAUGACUCUGUCAGUGAUCCCAGCACCUGGAAAGCAACUGGUGGACAAAGGCACGGAAGAGGAGCCGUUAGCCUAAAUCUCCUUUUGUACCCCAGAUUCGUGUUCACUAUGACUUUUGUUUUGUUUUUAAGAUUUACUUUUGUUAUUU
rnacentral:lncRNA from 1 species